rnacentral:rRNA from 1 species
UACAGAGGUGGCAAGCGUUGUUCGGAAUUACUGGGCGUAAAGGGCGCGUAGGCGGCCAUCUAAGUCAGACGUGAAAUCCCCCGGCUUAACCUGGGAACUGCGUCUGAUACUGGACGGCUUGAGUAUGGGAGAGGGAUGUAGAAUUCCAGGUGUAGCGGUGAAAUGCGCAGAUAUCAGGAGGAACACCGAUGGCGAAGGCAGGUCUCUGGGCAUUAACUGACGCUGAGGAGCGAAAGCAUGGGGGAGCGAACAGG